CAAAUCUUUAUCUCUUUCACGACAAAAAAAUUGUACCAGCUCAUAUGCUACAGCCGCAUCCUUCCAUAGAAAUAAAAGAAAAAAAUCCAUGCGUCUUUCCUUUGGCCCCGAGCAGCCGCGCCGCCGGAACUUGCGAACCCCGCCGCCACCUCGACUCUUCCGUGUCCGGUGCGACGCCGGCACAUCCAUCGCAUGCCGGCGAGCUCCCCAUCGAGCAGUAGUUGCCGCGCUGCCGGAACUUGCGAACCCCGCCGCCACCUCGACUCUUCCGCGUCCGGUGCGACGCCGGCGCAUCCGUCGCAUGCCGGCGAGCUCCCCAUCGAGAACUAGCUGACGCGCCGCCCUCCUACUUUGCCUUUUUCCCAUCCUUCCCUGCACUUCUCUCACCUCUCUCUGCCUCGCAUCCACAGGGACCCCGGGACGCCGCCGGCGCGCGGAAAGACGCCGCCCCAACUGGAUCGAUGCCUUGCUCCAUCGCCUGCUCUCCUACCAUCCGUCCUCACCCCGUCGCCACCUCGACUCUUCCGCAUCCGGUGCGACACCGGCGCAUCCCUCGCAUGCCGGGACCCGAGACGCCGCUGGCACGCGGAACGACGACGCCCCAGCUGGAUCGAGGCCCUGCUCCAUCGCAUGCUCUCCCGCCGUCCGUCCUCAUCUCGAAUCGAUCAUGCCGGCAGCCGUCGUUGCCAGAUCCUAGCUUGGCCGCCUGCUGAAAGAUACCGCGCCUUUGCUCCUCUCACCGUCGAGGGAGGUUGGAAUGACGGAGCCGUGCAUGUGUUGGCACCCAUGUGGUGCGUGCUGAGCCACCGCCUUGCGUAGCGGCUAUAGUCCUACGGCGCGCCCUGCCUCGAGCAGCACACAUGGGUGGCGGCUGAGACGUCUGAGGAGCUUCAGCAGGAGGUGGUGAUCCAGUGGCACUCCUUCCAGUACAACACUAACCUAUGCAAAGUGGCCCUUUAUUUCCCCUGCCCAGCUCCAAUCUUUGAUCCGUCCAUGCUUGAGGUAAUGUGUACAGAGAACGAGGCUGCCGAGCCAAAUUUGUUGAAUGAGGCUGUGAAGUUCGAGGUAAUAUUGCUGCUACCUUCGUUUUGUUUUUUGGUGAUGGUCACCUCUGUAUCAACUCAGCAGGUAGUAUCUAUCUGUUAGUGCUAUUUCUGCAAUUUUGUAAGCCAGAUUUGUGCCAAGUGCAUUGCAUAAUAUAUCUCUAAUAGGUCCAUUGCUAUUUCUGAGAUCUUCCAUCAAUGUUUAUUACAACAGAAAAAUGGUCCUUAUCACAUAUAUAGUAUGCACUGGCAACUUAUAUAUACGAUGGUUGAUAACAAUUACUUCAGGGUAUCCAUUCUGCUAUAUUUUAGAUACUCAACAAAAUUUGUGACAUCUAAUCUGGUAGAGAAAAUAGUUUGAUACAUUAUUUUUUUCUUUUGCGAAUUCAGUCCAAGAUAUUCUUUUCUUACCUACAGAUAAUUUCGUAUAGAUGACUUAGCAUUCAACAUGAUUUAGUUUCUAGCCUGUAUAGAUUAGUCUUAUUAUGAGCUACCUAUAAUUUUUUUAGGCUUUUAGUUUUAGUUAUGGUGAUGGACUGUGCACAUGAUUCACAGAAUAAAGAACUGCAUCAAGCAUUAAUUUUUACAUGCGUGAAGCAUUUUACAAUAAAUUUCCUAUUAUUCAUCAGCUAGCUGAAUGAACGGAGACUGUACGACAAGGCGAACAAGCACACUAAAUAUCAUGAGUCAUAGUAAUUCCUAGCUAUUUUUACAAAUGCAUUUCACUGGAAGUUUCCUGUUGAUUAUAAUAAUGUUCACCAUAGAUAUCUAAAGUUUGUGGUUCAAUUUAUGAACUGCAUUGGUCUAGAUACUAUUGCUGGAAGUUGACGUUGACACCCAGUAAGAUCCUCCUGGAGCUGCCUUCUCUGAGCAUAUCUCUAAUCAAGCAUCUACUGAUUCACAUCGUAAAUGUUAAAUUUGUGAUAGGCUUACUAUAGACAAAUGUUUCUGAAUCUUAUGGUAUAUCAGAUGUUACAGAGUAAAUUAUCAAUUUACUCUACAUGAUACAUUAAUCUUUUUUGUUUUUGUUUCUAUUCUAUUUAUGGUGGAAAAAUGGUUUCUUCACCAUUUUGUUGAUGUUAAAUUAAAACAUUUUUGUAUGCCUAUCGAAUAUAUGUUAGUUCAACCGAUAUUCCAAAUUACAUUUUUAUAUUGUGCUGCUUACUAUAGUUUUUUCCUCCAAGGAAACAACACCAAGGCACCCCAUGAGUAUUUGUCAGUUCAACUGAUAUUCCACUUUUGCAUAUUGUAGUACUUCCAUAGUUAUUUCAUCUCAGGAAACAACACCAAGGCAAUAUAUUUUUACCCUAUUUAUAACAGCCUAAUUAUUUCCAACAAUAGAGAUUCAGGCUAUCUUAUUAAAUGUUCCUUUUUGCACCCUGUUGAUCAGCUACAUAAUAUCCUUCUGAUAUAUGACUAAUUUGAAAGAGAAACAAAAAACUUUUCCUAAACUAUGAAAGACAUCAUUAUUCUGAUUAAAAUCCUUCUCAUAGGUGCCGCCAUGGCACCAUCCAUGAGAGUAUUAAGGAUCCCGAGGGAAAGAGUUGCGAUGGGCCGAUGGCGCAUCUAUUCACACCAUGGACAUUCAUUGCCUACUACUCAUGCGACCACUCUGAAGGUAAGGAAGUGUGUAUCUUAAGUUCCAUGCUGCAGUUAGCAUUUAAUCAUAUUAAUAUUAUCUCUGAUAUCCUGGACACAACAUAGAUUUUACAAGCAAAACUUCAUCAAGCUAGAUUUGUUGCAUGUGCACUGGAUGUUGAUGUUAUUGGGCUGGACUAAUUUUGUGUUUUCCCAUCAUGUUGAAAGUUGUCCCUGAUGUGCGUACAUUAUUCGCUAUCAUGGAGACGACAAAUAGCUGAUGUUUGGUAAUAGUUACUUCAUGGUAUGCUGCAUAUUCCUCUAAAUUUGUGAGAUUUGAGAUAGUAGAAACAACACAUCGUGAUCUACUGGCCUUGCCUGAUGCUUCGUUAUCUGAGGACCAUGGAGUAAAAUGGAUCUAAUUUCCAGUCUAUGUAUGAUUAUUAGUCAUUUGAUGCGGAAAGUUUUAGGAUUUCAUUAUAUGUUUAGUACGGUCUUACAGUUUAUGCAUGCGAAUUAACAGAAAUAAAUUGCACGGACUAUUCUUUUUCUCAUAAAUGUGAAGCAUGUACAACUAUUUUUCUAUUGCAAAAAAACAUUCCUUCCCCCAAGCGAGCCAGCACACAAAUAAGAGUGAAUCCAAGCUUUUUUCAGAACUGAGUUAGUUAUGUUAUCCCUACGAAUAUCUUAGGUUUUAAGUGUCAAUCUUCAAAUUCUCUGCUUUAUUAAUUUACUUUUUAUAAAUACUACGAAGACUAAAAUUUAAAGAAUUAAACCAAUAAGUGUAUUUAGUGAAGUCAGAGGUCUGUUUGGAAUAUUCUUAGUGCAAGUCUCUCAUGAAAGGAGGGAUGUCGUUUUUUCAUGGCUGAAUGGUGCUUUAUGAGGCAACAGUCCUAAUAUCAAUCAAAGUUGAAGCCUCUGUCUAAUCUCCUUUUGCUGUAAAAUAUUAUUUUGUAGUAUUCUUAACGUAAUUAAUGUUCACUUCUAUUAUGCUACCCUUUUAUGCACACCAUGUUUCUAAAUGCAAUAGCCCACUACGAAACAGUUAACUAUACAUCAAUUUCUAUCGAAGUUAGAAGGAAGUUCCUGCUAUUUGUAAUUUUAUACACCAUACACGUAUGAAGUUUCUUAUAUCUUAUUUAACUCUUCUAUAGAUGCUGUUCCAAAAGGUUGUAGCUGAUACCCAAAAAGCUCCUCAGUAGAUAUGAUCCUCUCCAGCACAUCACUUGGUGGAUCUAGAGGGGCAACCAUCAGCUUAUGAAAAAGGGAAAAUAAAUUGCCUGCUAUUGUUCCUUACCAAGAGUAAUUUCCCCAGUGCCUAACUUACAAUUUGAUUUGUUGCAUCAUGAUAAGAUCUCCAUGAUGUGCAUAUGCAUGAUUAUUUUUACAUUGAAUUCGUUUUCCUAUAUAUUUUACAUGCAUGCGUUCACAUAUUAGAGGACAAAUAUGUUGCAGGCUCUUAUCUACAUGCAUGAAUGUGAACUCUGUAUCCAAUGGUAAAGCGGGCUUUAUCAGGUGACAUGGGCGGGACCUUUCCACAUAUAUACUUCAUUAGUUAUCACAGUAUAUAUUUUGCCAGCAUCUUUGUAUUAUUGAUGAACGGUAUAUUUCUAUUCUAAAUUCUUGACUUCAUCAAAUUUAUAUUGUAGGAAAAAGGAUCAUGGAAUAGCAUGUGACGUGUGUAUUAUUGUUAGCAUCUACCUAUUUUGAUGCAUUGUAUUUGCAAUUUGCAUACAUAUACCAAGUUUUUCGUCAAAUAUAUAUGUUGCAGGAGACUGGAUGAUCGAGUAGCACUCAAGAUGGCAAGGUGGUUGAGAUUUAGGAACCGUUGUAUCUUGAGGACUCAUGAUGCAGUCGUACGUCGAUACAUAUAGAUUUAUGACUAUUGCCAUAUAGUCCAUUGUAUCUAUCUAUCUAUCUACCUACCUACCUACCUACCUACCUACCUACCUAUCACCUCUUAACUUCAGCAUAUUUACCUUGAGUAAUUAUGGUUUAAUACAGGUUUUUUCUCUAUUAGUGAUUUAAUUUUUUAUUGGUUUA